AUGCUCGGCGGAAAGAUCACCGGCCGACUCGGCGCCGAACCACGCGGGUCCCUCAAAGUCAGCCUCACAACUACUCGACUGAGCAUGUGCGCCGUGGCUUCGCGGUGGGGCCCUCAGGUCGGAAUUGUCCUCAUCUAGCGCGCGGACUCCGUCAGCUUAACCCCGUCAAUCGCAGCUCCGAGCAUGGCGAGCCACGUCUCGGAUUCUUCGCCACGCGUAGACCACCUCUACCUAGCUACAAAGGCGGGCCGAAUUCUCCCGCACCUCCUCUUCUCUAGCCAUCCGUGAGCCACAGUCAACCAGGGGCGCGAGAUUAAGUUGUGACCAAGUAAAGAGAGUCACUGCCGUAGGCAAUCCUGCUUGCUUCUCGCCGUCGCAUCCUUGGGGUCGUGCCCAGGGGUUUCGCUGGGUCUCGUGGAUGCGUUCCAUGGCCUCGCCGGCGGGAAUCGUCGUGCAGUGAGGGGGGAAUUGCUCACCGUCGUGCUACAACCGCUGCGGAUCCGCGGGUCGUGUGGACGGCAUCAGCUGCGCCAUCGAGGAGAAGAGCAUGUGGUUCAAGAGGAGCCACACAACGAGGAGUUUGAUCUGAUCUAGGUGGCGUCUCCGAGUUGACUUUCUUGCGCUAAGGAUGGAUUUUAAUUCGAUCUAUAUUUAUAUUUUAUUUUGUAAGACUUCCGCUAUGUAAUAAGUACUCUGAUUAUAUUGUGACAUUUAUCUCUA